AUGCUCAUUUUAGCAGCACAUAUACUAAAAUUGGAACUAUACAGAGAUUAGCAUGGCCCCUGUACAAGGAUAACACGAAAAUUCAUGAAGCGUUCCAUAUCUUC
rnacentral:snRNA from 1 species